rnacentral:tRNA from 1 species
UCGGGGAUCGUCUAAUGGCAGGACUCCGGGUUUUGAUCCCGGCAAUCUAGGUUCGAAUCCUAGUCCCUGAACGA